rnacentral:rRNA from 1 species
UACGAAGGGGGCUAGCGUUGCUCGGAAUCACUGGGCGUAAAGGGUGCGUAGGCGGGUUUUUAAGUCAGAGGUGAAAUCCCGGGGCUCAACCUCGGAACUGCCUUUGAUACUGCAAAUCUCGAGUCCGGAAGAGGUGAGUGGAAUUCCUAGUGUAGAGGUGAAAUUCGUAGAUAUUAGGAAGAACACCAGUGGCGAAGGCGGCUCACUGGUCCGGUACUGACGCUGAGGUGCGAAAGCGUGGGGAGCAAACAGG